rnacentral:tRNA from 1 species
GCCAGCGUAGCUUAAUAUAAAGCAUAGCACUGAAGAUGCUAAGAUGAGUCUUAAGUGACCCCGCGUGCA